rnacentral:rRNA from 1 species
CCUACGGGUGGCUGCAGUCGAGAAUCAUUCACAAUGGGGGAAACCCUGAUGGUGCGACGCCGCGUGGGGGAAUGAAGGUCUUCGGAUUGUAAACCCCUGUCAUGUGGGAGCAAAUUAAAAAGAUAGUACCACAAGAGGAAUAGACCUCUAACUCUGUGCCAGCAGCCGCGGUAAUACAGCGGUCUCAAGCGUUGUUCGGAAUCACUGGGCGUAAAGCGUGCGUAGGCUGUUUCGUAAGCCGUGUGGGAAAGGCGCGGGCUCAACCCGAGUACGGCACAUGAUCCUGCGGGACUAGAGUAAAGGAGGGGGAACCGGAAUUCUCGGGGUAGCAGUGAAAUGCGUAGAUAUCGAGAGGAACACUCGUGGCGAAGGCGGGUUCCUGGACAUUAACUGACGCUGAGGCACGAAGGCGAGGGGAGCGAAAGGGAUUAGAUACCCCUGUAGUC